rnacentral:rRNA from 1 species
GCGUAAUAGCUCACUGGUCGAGUCGGCCUGCGCGGAAGAUGUAACGGGGCUAAACCAUGCACCGAAGCUGCGGCAGCGACACUAUGUGUUGUUGGGUAGGGGAGCGUUCUGUAAGCCUGUGAAGGUGGCCUGUGAGGGUUGCUGGAGGUAUCAGAAGUGCGAAUGCUGACAUAAGUAACGAUAAAGCGGGUGAAAAGCCCGCUCGCCGGAAGACCAAGGGUUCCUGUCCAACGUUAAUCGGGGCAGG